rnacentral:rRNA from 1 species
UACGGUUACCUUGUUACUGGCUCAGGACGAACGCUGGCGGCGUGCUUAACACAUGCAAGUCCAACGAUGAACUAGGAGCUUGCUCCUAGGGAUUAGUGGCGAACGGGUGAGUAACACGUGGGCGACCUGCCCCAGACACUGGGAUAACCCCGGGAAACCGGAGCUAAUACCGGGUAUGACCACUUUGGACAUCCAACGGUGGUGGAAAGAUUUAUCCGAACUGAGACGGGCCCGCGGCCUAUCAGCUAGUUGGAGGGGUAACGGCCCACCAAGGCGACGACGGGUAGCCGGCCUGAGAGGGCGACCGGCCACACUGGGACUUGACGUCGUCCCCACUCCUACGGGAGGCAGCAGUGGGGAAUAUUGCACAAUGGGCGCAAGCCUGAUGCAGCGACGCCGCGUGAGGGACGACGGCCUUCGGGACUUAACCCACUUUCAGCAGGGACGAAGCGAAAGUGACUGUACCUGCAGAAGAAGCACCGGCUAACUACGUGCCAGCAGCCGCGGUAAUACGUAGGGUGCAAGCGUUGUCCGGAUUUAUUGGGCGUAAAGAGCUCGUAGGCGGUUUGUUACGUCGGAUGUGAAAACCUAUGGCUUAACCAUGGGCCUGCAUUCGAUGCGGGCAGACUAGAGUUUGGUAGGGGAGAUUGGAAUUCCUGGUGUAGCGGUGAAACGCGCAGAUAUCAGGAGGAACACCGGUGGCGAAGGCGGAUCUCUGGGCCACUCCCCACGCUCUGGAGCGAAAGCGUGGGGAGCAAACAGGAUUAGAUACCCUGGUAGUCCACGCCGUAAACGGUGGGCGCUAGUUGUGGGGAACCUUCCACGUUCUCAGUCUCCCCUACCACACAUUAAGCGCCCCGCCUGGGGAGUACGGCCGCAAGGCUAAAACUCAAAGGAAUUGACGGGGGCCCGCACAAGCGGCGGAGCAUGCGGCUUACUUCGAUGCAACGCGAAGAACCUUACCUAGGCUUGACAUAUGGAAGAACACUGUAGAGAUACAGGACUCUUUGGACACUUCCAAUACAGGUGGUGCAUGGCUGUCGUCAGCUCGUGUCGUGAGAUGUUGGGUUAAGUCCCGCAACGAGCGCAACCCUCGUCCUAUGUUGCCAGCAUUUAGUUGGGGACUCAUAGGAGACUGCCGGGGUCAACUCGGAGGAAGGUGGGGACGGCGUCAAGUCAUCAUGCCCCUUAUGUCUAGGGCUGCACGCAUGCUACACAUGGCCGGUACAAAGGGCUGCGAUACCGCAAGGUGGAGCGAAUCCCAUAAAGCCGGUCUCAGUUCGGAUUGGGGUCUGCAACUCGACCCCAUGAAGUCGGAGUCGCUAGUAAUCGCAGAUCAGCAACGCUGCGGUGAAUACGUUCCCGGGCCUUGUACACACCGCCCGUCACGUCACGAAAGUUGGUAACACCCGAAGCCGGUGGCCUAACCCUUUUGGGAGGGAGCUGUCGAAGGACGGACUAGCGAUUCGUCCUGAGCCAGGAUCAAACUCU